rnacentral:tRNA from 1 species
GCACCUGUGGUGGAACGGCAGACACGCUGGAUUUAGGUUCCAGUGCCGCAAGGCGUGUGGGUUCAAGUCCCACCAGGUGCACCA